rnacentral:rRNA from 1 species
UACGAAGGGGGCUAGCGUUGCUCGGAAUCACUGGGCGUAAAGCGCGCGUAGGCGGAUUGUUAAGUCAGGGGUGAAAUCCUGGAGCUCAACUCCAGAACUGCCUUUGAUACUGGUGAGCUUGAGUCCGGAAGAGGUGAGUGGAACUGCGAGUGUAGAGGUGAAAUUCGUAGAUAUUCGCAAGAACACCAGUGGCGAAGGCGGCUCACUGGUCCGGUACUGACGCUGAGGUGCGAAAGCGUGGGGAGCAAACAGG